rnacentral:rRNA from 1 species
UACAGAGGGUGCGAGCGUUAAUCGGAAUUACUGGGCGUAAAGCGCACGUAGGUGGCGACGUAAGUCGGGUGUGAAAGCCCCGGGCUCAACCUGGGAAUUGCAUUCGAGACUGCAUUGCUGGAGUACGGAAGAGGAAGGCGGAAUUCCCGGUGUAGCGGUGAAAUGCGUAGAGAUCGGGAGGAACACCGGCGGCGAAGGCGGCUGCCUGGACCAGUGCUGACGCUGAGGCGCGAAAGCUAGGGGAGCAAACAGG